rnacentral:lncRNA from 10 species
UUAUCAUCAUCAUCGUUGUUGUUAAAUUAAUAGAUGCCACAUAGAUUAUCAGAUAGAUCAUCCUUUGACAUUGUAAUGGGAACAUACUGCUCCCCACUUUUGGGAGGCUUCAUACCUGUUCUGCUUAUUUAAGAACGUACCUCUGGUUCUUGUUCUAUCCUUUGAUCUCCUGUUUCCUAGGUAGGAAAUCUUUCUUUUCAUAUUAGUCCACUUCCUUUUCUUCUGGCACUUCAUCAUCUUACCUCCAUCAGCUAAGUUUCUUGCCCAGUGACAACUAAGUGCAUACAUUUUCCCAAUAUAUGCAACCUGUGCUGUGAAAUCAUUAUAAACACUAAUGAAAUUAACCAAAAAAGGGAUACAACUGUAUCUCCUGCCUAUCUGCUCAUUCCACCCUUUAAAGAAUCAGAGUCACACAUUUUGGGAGGCAGGAUAGUUUGUUGCUUAUGUAAAUAUCAAACUGCAAUUUGCCAAGCCCAGCUCUACCCAUUUGCUAGGUUAAUUUAUUUCCCUAAGAAAUAGAAGUAAUAACAGUAUCUACAUCAUAGUGUUCUUAUAGGCAAGUACCCCUACUUGG